rnacentral:rRNA from 1 species
UACGUAGGAGACGAGCGUUGUCCGGAGUUACUGGGCGUAAAGGGUGCGCAGGGGGCCGCGCGCGUGGGGAGUGAAAUCGCCUGGCUUAACUGGGCGGGGGCUUUCCAGACGGCGUGGCUUGAGCCACAGAGGGGGGCGUGGAAUUCCGGGUGGAGCGGUGAAAUGCGUAGAGAUCCGGAGGAACACCGGUGGUGUAGACGGCUUUCUGGACCGACACUGACGCUGAGACACGAAAGCGUGGGUAGCAAACAGG